rnacentral:tRNA from 1 species
GCCGAGGUGGUGAAAUUGGUAGACACGCCAGCUUCAGGUGCUGGUGGGGGUAACCCCGUGGAGGUUCGAGUCCUCUCCUCGGCACCA